AAUUUCAUAUCAGUAUAUGGUUUGACAGAAUUAUAUUCGUGUCGAUUAAUAGGGAAUUCGGUUAGAACCCGAAGCAGUCACCACUACUGUAAUGCAGACGAGAAAGCAAUAUGUCACUGGGAAACCGGGAAGGCGCUUUUAAGGAUGAAGCUGAGUCAGGAGACCUGCCAUAUAUGCGGUUUAAAU
rnacentral:ncRNA from 2 species